GCUGAGCGGAAGAGGAAAUAGUUCCUGUCCUGCACAGCUAUAGUGCAUUUCUUCUCAUUUCGGCAUGUGUGAUGUGCAGUUAUUUUCUAGCCAAACAAUUAUUUUAAAAACUACUUUGAAAGAAACAUUUAUAAACGCUAUAAUUAAGCGAGGAUAUAUCCUCAAGGAUUAACGUGUCAGAGUAUUGCUAUGUGAAGAUCCUUCCGCCCGUACCUGAAGACACGGGAAACGCGCGCGCUGCACUCCUUACCAAUGGAAGCAUGUCUGCCACUUUAAAGCAACCUGCAAACUCCCUGCAGAGCCUCAAACAAGAGUUUGCUCUGACACAAAGUUGCUCCAACAGUGAUGAGGAGGGAACAGACAGCCUCUGCGACAACCACUUUACCAUCGUCAAACUUGAAGAUGAAGAUCCAGAAACCGAGAUGGACCUGAGUAUAUUUGCUCCUGUCGAGUCCUCGGAGUGUGAAGACGAAGAUGAGCUUUCAGACUCAUCCGGCGCUUCUAUCUGGAGAAAGAAGAGCAUCAGAGAGCGAGAUAACCAGGAGGAUUCGGCGCCCCUUGAGAAAGUGGCUUCCAGGAGGAGAUUAAAAGGACAGCGAAAGAGCCGACAGACCUUUCUGGCUGAGCAGAGACACAAUCAGAGCCUUGAGUGUAGUGCAGCAAACGGGUUCCUGCAUGCAGCAGUGCAGAGGCUUGAACAGAAGAUUGACAGGCAGAUGUCAAAUGAGUCGUCGUAUGAAAGGAGCUCAGCGAAGCUGAAGAAUGGUCCAAAGAGAGGGGCGUCUCUGCCUGCUGAAGACAGGCAGCUGUCCUGGUCUUUGGCCCAGCAGCUUGAUCCACCAGUCCAGAGAAACCCCCGCUGGAUCCCUCCCUGGAAACGAGGGCUGGACAGGGCAGACCUUCAGCAGGCUGACAACAGCAGCCUUCAGUCGGGCAAACCUCCUGGCGGUGGACGCGGUCGCAGGGGGCGCAGCAGCAGAUCCCAGUGUCAGUCUCAAACUCCUGAUCCUGCUUCACUCGUGUCAAAGCCCAAUGGAGAUGCGAUCCGCACUGCAUCUACAGAUGAUCCACAGUUGUGCCAGGUAAUGAAGAACGGCUCUCAGGCUAACACUGGCUCAAAGCGUCAGCAGAAAAGAAAGAAAACCUUGGCUCAGGUGGACGAGGAGGAAAUUGAACUGGAGAAAAUGCCCAACAAUAAAGAGGCUACACUUGAAGUUCAGGUUGACAACAAAGUAAUGAUCGGAAGCCCCUUGAGGAAGGUGUGGAUCCCGCUGUCUGUGUACAAGGAGGUGUUUACGGCGGUGGAGCCCCAGAAGGCUGUAGUGCCGGUGCUUCAUGCUCUCUUCCCCAUCAGCACUCUGUCCUGCAGUGCGGUCACAGGAAACCCUGCAAAAGGCAUCCAGCAACUCGACCCCAACAAAAUAGAAGCCCUUCGAGAGUUUCUAGCUGAGAUGUACCCACAGUUUGACGUCGGCGUGAGGGGUGUGUCGUGGGCACAGUGUCUUGGAGUGAUAAACAACGUCACCAAAGACCUCAAGAAAAAAGCUGAAAAAACAUCACAUCUGCCAACAGAGGUUUGUGACACAAGAAGUGAUUGUUCAUACUCCGGAGGAUCUGACACUCGUACUCUGUGCAACACGACUUGUUAACCUAAACCUGUUUUAUUCACUUCAGUCAAUCAUCUAAACUGAUACAAUGUUCGUAACUGAAGUGCAAGUCCCAGUUUUGACAACGGCUGUCUUUUUUUUUUUCUCUCUUCUAUAGCUGCUAAGUUUCAAUGGAGAGAAAAUUUUUGGAUACGUAAUAUAUUAAUUCUUUUGUUCUUAAUAAAUCCAUAUAUUAACC
ensembl:lncRNA uncharacterized LOC107680057